UUAUUUCCCUUGGCUAAAAACAGCCCUAAUAAAGUGUAAUUCUUGUGAACAAAUCAAAACGGAGUCCGCAAAAACCCUCUGCAGAGAUUUAAACGCUGACAAAGAAGAUGAAAUUUAGGGCUUCUCAGAGAAUUCCCUGUUUCACUUACAAUGGACGCUUCAAUCAUCUACAGGCGCAGCGUUUCCAUUUCACUACCUUUCUUCGUAAGGUACAACCCACCGAAGCUCGAGCUUCGCUUAAUCGUGGCGGCAGUAGUAGUAACAGCAAUUCUCAGGGUAACCCUCUCUUGCUGCCUGGUGCAACAGUCGCAACUAUAGUUAUGCUUGGUCUUCUCCAUGCUCGACGCCUCUAUGAUGAUCAAAAGAUUGAAGACGCCAGAGAGAAAGGAAUUUUAGAAUUCCAGCCUGAUGUAAAGGCUACUUUCAUGAGAUUACUUCCACUACGCUCCAUUUCUAGAUUCUGGAGUACUUUGACCAGUGUGGAGCUUCCGAUGUGGCUGCGCCCAUCUGUGUAUAAAGGAUGGGCUCGGGCAUUUCAUUCAAACUUGGAAGAAGUAGCAUUGCCUUUGGAAGAAUAUGCAUCUUUACGAGAGUUCUUUGUCAGAAGAUUGAAAGAGGGUACCAGACCUAUUGAUUUGGAUCCCUGUUGUCUGAUUAGUCCAGUUGAUGGUACUGUUCUUCAAUUUGGAGAGUUGAAAGAAGCUGGGGCUAUGAUUGAGCAAGUCAAAGGAUUUUCUUAUUCUGUUUCUUCGCUUCUUGGUGCCAGCUCCCUCCUUCCCAUGAGUGUGGUUGAUGACAACACAAAUCAAGAUGGUGGGCAAGAGGGUUCUAUGGAUGAUGUGAAUCAGAAGUCCUGGUGGAGAGUUUCAUUGGCUUCUCCUAAAGUCCGAGAUCCUGCACCAGCACGUCCAAUGAAAGGUCUCUUUUACUGUGUGAUUUACUUGAGACCUGGAGAUUAUCAUCGCAUACACUCACCAGCUGAUUGGAAUGUUCUUGGCCGUCGACAUUUCUCUGGUCGUCUCUUUCCCUUGAAUGAACGAGCUACAAGGACAAUAAGAAAUUUAUAUGUGGAGAAUGAAAGGGUUGUGCUUGAAGGUAAAUGGCAAGAAGGUUUUAUGGCAGUAGCAGCCGUAGGUGCAACGAAUAUUGGUUCCAUUGAGCUUUUCAUUGAACCAACUCUGCAAACAAAUAGACCAUGGAAGAAACUGCUACAUCCAGAACCUCCUGAAGAACAGGUAUACGAACCCAGAGGCACUGGUGUUUUGCUGAAGAAAGGAGAUGAGAUAGCAGCUUUCAAUAUGGGUUCAACAGUGGUUCUGGUCUUCCAAGCUCCGAUCUUACAACUUCCUGCAGAUAAAAGCACGUCAGCAGAAUUCAAUUUUUGUAUUAAAAAGGGAGACCGGGUACGCAUGGGAGAGGCCCUGGGAAGGUGGCAUGAUCCCUAGUUACAAUAUUUCAACUACAGAAUUAAGGGUGUUCAAAGGAAACCAUCCUCCUUCUUCACCGAUCAAACCUAGCUAAGUGUAUGAAAGUUCAAUCUUCCUCGACAUUCAUUCAGUGCCCAAAAUUUGAUCUUCAACACACUGUGUCCAUUGUCUCUUCAGUUCAAACGAAACCCUCUUCCUUCUUCACCGAUCAAAACCUAGGUUUAAAGGUUGAAAUCAAGUGUUGGAGAUUGCAAUUUUGUUGGGCGUUUUGACAUUUCUAUCAUCUGUUUCUUGAAGUGACAUUAGUUUGUGUUUGCAUGUUUCAUCCUUGAAGAAGAAGGUGUAUGUUCUGGUUGUGUCACUGUCUGUUAGCAUUUUGUAACUAGGUUUUUUUUUUUUUGGAAAUUGCACUGAUAAAGUAAGGGGCUUUUGGGGUAUUUUCUUUUUGAGAUAUGGACGACUAUAUAUUGACAUAUUUUCAUCAUGGGGGUCAUGUUAUUGCAGACCCUAACCUUACUUAUAGAGGAGAAGUAGAUGUAUUUGUCGUUGUCAUUGAUAAAUAUCAUUUUAGUUUUGACGAGUUUUUUUCAUACACUAAAGACCUUGGGUACACAAAUUUGAAGGAUUUUUACUGUCAAAAUGAAAUUAACAAUGAAUUUGUCCAAGUUA